GUUCGAGCGUCAUUACAACCCUCAAGCUCAGCUUGGUAUUGGGCCUGCCUUCACCGGCUUGCCUCAAAAUCAGUGGCGGCUCCGUCCAGUCUCAAGCGCAGUAAUACUCGUCGCUUGUUAGGCUUGGUCGGCAGUCUGCUAACAACCCCCACUUUUACAAGGUUGACCUCGGAUCAGGUAGGGAUACCCGCUGAACUUAA
rnacentral:misc_RNA from 1 species